AUUGAACGCUGGCGGCAGGCCUAACACAUGCAAGUCGAACGAGUGGCGGACGGGUGAGUAAUGUCUGUGAAAAUGCCUGAUGGAGGGGGAUAACUACUGGAAACGGUAGCUAAUACCGCAUACCUUCAGAUGUGCCCAGAGGGGAUUAGCUUGUUGGUGGGGUAACGGCUCACCAAGGCGACGAUACCUAGCUGGUCUGAGAGGAUGACCAGCCACACUGGAACUGAGACACGGUCCAGACGCCUCCGAGAGGCAGCAGUGGGGAAUAGUGCAAAAUGUGCGAAAGGCUGAUGCAGCCAUGCCGGGUGUAUGAAGAAGGCCUUCGGGUUGUAAAGUACUUUCAGCGGGGAGGCGUUACCCGCAGAAGAAGCACCGGCUAACUCCGUGCCAGCAGCCGCGGUAAUAC
rnacentral:rRNA from 1 species